CUUAUACUGAAACAGCCUAUGUCUACAUGGGUGUGGUCUUUCCUGGAUUAUAUUCUUGAUUUGCUGUUUCGUCUUCAACUUGUAAUAUCAUGCAGUUAAUUUUCGACCCAUGAGCGAGUGCAACUGGAUAUUUAUUUGAAUUCCACUGAAAUAAGAAAUUCUCUGCCACAGUAUUCCUCCUUGAGUUGGUGUACUCUUCACACCUGUAAACUUUGGAGUGUUACGUUCUAUAAUGAAUUAAGGUGAGGAUACUUGAUAUAAUUAAUUUAAAUUGCUCUUUAUUGAUCUGUUUGCUACUGUAUCUGUUUCAGAUCGACGUUGGAGAAAACAAAGAUGACGCUGUAGUUGAAAUAGUUCUUUGAUUGGCUAACAAUUGAGAGAGAUUGGAGCUGAUAUCUUUGCUUACUGAAAAGAUAAGUCGGCUCCUAUGGUGUUUUAGCUGUUAACCUUUCAUCUUAGAGGCUCUUGUAGUUAAUUAAGGAACAUUAGAAGAACUCCGGAUACCUUUAAAUUAUGAAAUUAUGGAGCAUUGGUUGAAUUAGUUCUCAUUUGCCCUGCAAAGUAGUUGUGCCCAUGGUUCUAAAGAAAGCAUGAAAGUGCCUUUUUUUCAUUGGGAACGAAGACAGUGUGCUGAAAAAGGAUUUAUGACAAUGAAGUGAUUGCUGUCCCACAAAUGAGAAGGAAUUGCAGUUAAUUUUGGUGCUACUAAAACAACUGAUGCUCUUGACGUCUUCACCUUGCAACAUUAUGCAGUUAAUUUUUGCCGUAACAAUGGGAGGCAAUUGGAAAUUAAUUAAUUUGGAUGCAACCCGAACACGAAAUUAUCUGCAGUAGUAUCCCUCCUAGAUUUGGUUGAUUUGCCCAUCACACUGGUUGACAUUAGAACGCCACUUUCUACAAUUAAUUAAGGUUAUACAAUAAAGGAGAGUGAAUUAAUGUUCAGUAUUGAAACAGCCCAUGUCUACACGGGUGUGGUCUUUCCUGGAUUAUAUUCUUGAUUUGCUAUUUCGUCUUCAAGUUGUAACAUCAUGCAGUUACUUUUCGACCCAUGAGCGAGUGCAACUGGAUAUUUAUUUGAAUUCCACUGAAAUAAGAAAUUCUCUGCCACAGUAUUCCUCCUUGAGUUGGUUUGCUUUUCACACCUGUAAACUUUGGAGUGUUACGUUCUAUAAUCAAUUAAGGUGAGGAUACUUGAUAUAAUUAAUUUUAAUUGCUCUUUAUUGAUCUGUUUGCCACCGUAUCUGUUUCAGAUCGACGUUGGA